rnacentral:rRNA from 1 species
UACGAAGGGGGCUAGCGUUGUUCGGAAUUACUGGGCGUAAAGCGUGCGCAGGCGGUUUUGUAAGCCAGAUGUGAAAUCCCCGGGCUCAACCUGGGAAUGGCAUUUGGGACUGCAAGGCUGGAGUUUGGCAGAGGAGACUGGAAUUCCUGGUGUAGCAGUGAAAUGCGUAGAUAUCAGGAGGAAUACCGAUGGCGAAGGCAGGUCUCUGGGCUAUAACUGACGCUCAUGCACGAAAGCGUGGGGAGCAAACAGG